UCAAAAUGGUCCCUUAUCACUUCACACAGCUAAUAGAAGCUUACCUUAAGAAGCUUAUCUUAUAGUCGUUAUUUCUUUCAAGCCUUUACUUCUUUUAAACUCUGUAAUGCCUUAGGGAUCACAGCUACUCACACCUUUUUUGCUGCUUGAAGGAAAACCACAGUACUCACUGAAAAGUCAUACAUACACCUGUAAGAAGUAUCAUGGCUCUAGAAAAUCAUGAUUGCUGUGACAAGAUGAAUGAGUGAGCAACUGCCAUUUCUCCCAGUGCAAGGGGAUGGAGACACUCAACUGUGGACGAUUUCAAGGUUUUUGGGUUCUCUCCCAUCCUGCGUUCACCUAGAAACACUUGGAAGCCUUUUUGUGACUUCACCUCUUUGCCAGUGUGGUUCAAUUUCGUACAUGCCACCUUGGGUUUUUUCAACCUAACCUUUUUCAUCUGAUGCUUAUUCCCUAACCAACUGAUAUGAUCCAGCAUUAGAAUUAAAAAUAGUUGUUAGUGGAGCUGACCAAAGAAACAAAACACUGGAAUGCUUUGGAAAGUGAUGGCUCAUGAGAACAGAAAACUUUGAUGGACACGUGAGGAUGUGCUACUUCCAAAUAAAAUUAACUGGGUAAGAAGGCAAAGCAAUGCUUGCAACCCUACUGGAAUGAAGCAUGUCUACUUUUCACUUCAGUGCAGUUCAGCUUAUUGCAGUCCUCUCUUACGGGGCAAAACACUAUUACAAUGAAACGGAAAACCGUGCAAAAUAAGACAGACUAUAAAUCUAUACAAAUCUCUACAAGCUAAUUUCAACCAGUUGCUUAGUUGAAGGCUUUGUUCCUUCUGGAAAUCUGCUGACUGAACUGCAUAUACUUAUUGUGAAACAGAAUCAAUUAAACUUGACAUUAAAAGAUGA